rnacentral:rRNA from 1 species
AACGCUAGCUACAGGCUUAACACAUGCAAGUCGAGGGGUAACAAGAGGAAAGCUUGCUUUUCUUGUUGACGACCGGCGCACGGGUGAGUAACGCGUAUCCAACCUGCCUAUAACUAGGGAAUAACCUUGCGAAAGUAAGACUAAUACCCUAUGAUUUCCUUUGAUGGCAUCAGAUUAGGAAUAAAGAUUUAUCGGUUAUAGAUGGGGAUGCGUCUGAUUAGCUUGUUGGCGGGGUAACGGCCCACCAAGGCAACGAUCAGUAGGGGUUCUGAGAGGAAGGUCCCCCACAUUGGAACUGAGACACGGUCCAAACUCCUACGGGAGGCAGCAGUGAGGAAUAUUGGUCAAUGGGCGGAAGCCUGAACCAGCCAAGUAGCGUGCAGGAUGACGGCCCUAUGGGUUGUAAACUGCUUUUAUACAGGAAUAAAGUUAGCCACGUGUGGUUAUUUGUAGGUACUGUAUGAAUAAGGACCGGCUAAUUCCGUGCCAGCAGCCGCGGUAAUACGGAAGGUCCAGGCGUUAUCCGGAUUUAUUGGGUUUAAAGGGAGCGUAGGCCGUCUGUUAAGCGUGUUGUGAAAUGUAGAUGCUCAACAUCUGAAUUGCAGCGCGAGCUGGCAGACUUGAGUGUGCGCAACGUAGGCGGAAUUCGUGGUGUAGCGGUGAAAUGCUUAGAUAUCACGAAGAACUCCGAUUG